AUUGAACGCUGGCGGCAGGCCUAACACAUGCAAGUCGAGCGGAUGACGGGAGCUUGCUCCUUGAUUCAGCGGCGGACGGGUGAGUAAUGCCUAGGAAUCUGCCUGGUAGUGGGGGACAACGUUUCGAAAGGAACGCUAAUACCGCAUACGUCCUACGGGAGAAAGCAGGGGACCUUCGGGCCUUGCGCUAUCAGAUGAGCCUAGGUCGGAUUAGCUAGUUGGUGGGGUAAUGGCUCACCAAGGCGACGAUCCGUAACUGGUCUGAGAGGAUGAUCAGUCACACUGGAACUGGGACACGGUCCAGACUCCUACGGGAGCCAGCAGUGGGGAAUAUUGGACAAUGGGCGGAAGCCUGAUCCAGCCAUGCCGCGUGUGUGAAGAAGGUCUUCGGAUUGUAAAGCACUUUAAGUUGGGAGGAAGGGCAGUAAGUUAAUACCUUGCUGUUUUGACGUUACCGACAGAAUAAGCACCGGCUAACUCUGUGCCAGCAGCCGCCGUAA
rnacentral:rRNA from 1 species